UACGUAGGUGGCGAGCGUUGUCCGGAUUUACUGGGCGUAAAGAGCGCGCAGGCGGUCGUAUAAGUCGCGUGUGAAAGCCCCCGGCUCAACUGGGGAGGGUCACGCGAUACUGUUCGACUUGAAGGCAGGAGAGGGAAGCGGAAUUCCCGGUGUAGUGGUGAAAUGCGUAGAUAUCGGGAGGAACACCAGUGGCGAAGGCGGCUUCCUGGCCUGUUCUUGACGCUGAGGCGCGAAAGCUAGGGGAGCAAACGGG
rnacentral:rRNA from 1 species